CGGAUUCGCAAGCCCGAUUUGGUCAGUCGGUGAAGGGGCUUCUCACGGAAAAGGUGAACACCUGCGGCACCGACGUAAUCGCGCUCACCAAGCAGGUGCUGAAAGGCUCGCGAAGCUCUGAGCUGCUGGGGCAGGCAGCUCGAAACAUGGUGCUACAGGAAGAUGCCAUCUUGCACUCAGAAGAUAGUUUAAGGAAGAUGGCGAUAAUAACAACACACCUUCAGUACCAGCAAGAAGCUAUUCAGAAGAAGUAAGUGUCCUCAGAGAUGACGGGUGGGGCCUACUGAAGCAUGCUGGGAGUGACUGCUGUCAAGGGUGUGCAGGAACUGGGUUUACUGCCCUUUAGUUCUAGAAGUUACAGGGCACAGAGGCUGCCCUUAGGAACAGACAUGUUUGCUUAUAGUGGUAACAUUCACAAAUAGAGCAGACAUAAGGACGUCACUAAAUGGUCUCAUUUUCUUAACCGCGUGAAGUUUUUCUAAGCCCUUUUCUUUUUAAUUUAAGGUCUCUCACUAUGUAGGCCCGUCUAACCUGAGGGUCACAAUCCUGCCUCCACUUCCUGAGUGGUGGGGUAUAGGUGUGUGUCCUGUGCCCACCAGCACAGACCCUUCACGGUUUACUUUCCCCCAACCUUGAGAUGGAAUCUCACCGUGUUUCCACAGUGACCUCCAACCCUUGGGUUCAAACCGUCCUCCCUCUGCCUUAGCUCCCGAGUAACAGAUGAACAGUUGGGCCACAGUGCCAGAUUCUGAGUUUAAACACUUGGCUGAGGUAAAUUCUGACUCAGGCGUGACAAGAUCAAUGCAUCAAAGGACAGGUCAAACAGGUAGAUGUCUUCUCCUGGUCUUCUCAGACAGUCCCGUUCUGUUUUGGUUUCCAGCGUUGAACAGUCGCCUGACCUGCAAGACCAGCUGAGUCAUUUACUGAAGUAGCUCUCGCCAGAACAGCAGUUGACUUCUUUGCCUGAUGCUGAGAAGGACGCGGCCUUGGUUUCCAUUUUCAUCUCCAAAAAUUCAUCUAGAAAAGACUUGUG
rnacentral:lncRNA from 1 species